CUACGGGAGGCAGCAGUGGGGAAUUUUGGACAAUGGGGGCAACCCUGAUCCAGCCAUGCCGCGUGAGUGAAGAAGGCCUUCGGGUUGUAAAGCUCUUUCGGCCGGAACGAAAUCGCGCGGGCGAACAAUCCGCGUGGAUGACGGUACCGGAAUAAGAAGCACCGGCUAACUACGUGCCAGCAGCCGCGGUAAUACGUAGGGUGCAAGCGUUAAUCGGAAUUACUGGGCGUAAAGCGUGCGCAGGCGGUCGCGUAAGCCAGAUGUGAAAGCCCCGGGCUUAACCUGGGAAUUGCAUUUGGUACUGCGUGGCUAGAGUGCGGCAGAGGGAGGUGGAAUUCCUGGUGUAGCAGUGAAAUGCGUAGAUAUCAGGAGGAACACCGAUGGCGAAGGCAGCCUCCUGGGCCAGCACUGACGCUCAUGCACGAAAGCGUGGGGAGCAAACAGGAUUAGAUACCCUAGUAGUCC
rnacentral:rRNA from 1 species